rnacentral:rRNA from 1 species
AUUGAACGCUGGCGGCAGGCCUAACACAUGCAAGUCGAACGGUAGCACAGAGAGCUUGCUCUCGGGUGACGAGUGGCGGACGGGUGAGUAAUGUCUGGGAAACUGCCUGAUGGAGGGGGAUAACUACUGGAAACGGUAGCUAAUACCGCAUAACGUCGCAAGACCAAAGAGGGGGACCUUCGGGCCUCUUGCCAUCAGAUGUGCCCAGAUGGGAUUAGCUAGUAGGUGGGGUAACGGCUCACCUAGGCGACGAUCCCUAGCUGGUCUGAGAGGAUGACCAGCCACACUGGAACUGAGACACGGUCCAGACUCCUACGGGAGGCAGCAGUGGGGAAUAUUGCACAAUGGGCGCAAGCCUGAUGCAGCCAUGCCACGUGUAUGAAGAAGGCCUUCGGGUUGUAAAGUACUUUCAGCGGGGAGGAAGGUGUUGUGGUUAAUAACCGCAGCAAUUGACGUACC